CCUACGGGUGGCAGCAGUGAGGAAUAUUGGUCAAUGGGCGAGAGCCUGAACCAGCCAAGUCGCGUGAAGGAUGACGGCCCUACGGGUUGUAAACUUCUUUUGUCAGGGUGCAAUUGGGUCCACGCGUGGGCUUAGCGAGAGUACCUGAAGAAAAAGCAUCGGCUAACUCCGUGCCAGCAGCCGCGUUAAUACGGGGGAUGCGAGCGUUAUCCGGAUUUAUUGGGGUAAAGGGGUGCGUAGGCGGCAGAUGAAGUCAGCGGUAAAACUUCGGGGCUGAACCCCGUCGUGCCGUUGAAACGGAGGUUCGUGAGUGGGCGAGAAGUAUGCGGAAUGCGUGGUGUAGCGGUGAAAUGCAUAGAUAUCACGCAGAACUCCGAUUGCGAAGGCAGCAUACCGGCGCCCAACUGACGCUGAGGAGCGAAAGCGUGGGUAUCGAACAGGAUUAGAUACCCUGGUAGUC
rnacentral:rRNA from 1 species